CCCAACCCUCCAAUGGAACCCAGAACCCUCCGGAGUUCCUCAGGACCUGUCGAAGCCUGAAAUAGAUUCUUUGAGAAUCUUAAAAGUCAAACAACUGGGCCUUGCGGGGAAGACUGAUGACGUGAGAAAAAAAGGAAAAAGCUGAUGAGCAGACGUGAGCGGCAGUGGUGCUGGUGGCGCAGGAUGUCCUGGAGGAGGACGACCUCGACUACCUCAAAGGAGCUGAUGCCAGCCUUGUGUCUGAUGGGGAGACAAGUGCACAUUUGUUGUGCUCUGUCUGAGAUGGAGAAGUGUGCGCCUUACUGGCGUACUUCAUUGAUGCCAGCAAGCCCAGCCAGCGAGUGACCAAUAGUGGCCGGUU